UAUAAGAAAAUGAGAAUACUUUCUGUUGC
rnacentral:piRNA from 1 species